CCUACGGGUGGCAGCAGUGAGGAAUAUUGGUCAAUGGGCGGGAGCCUGAACCAGCGAAGUCGCGUGAGUGAGUACUGCCCUAUGUGUUGUAAACCUCUUUUGUCGGGGAGCAAAAGCUGGACGUGCCCGGCUGUGAGAGUACCCGAAGCAAAAGCAUCGGCUAACUCGGUGCCAGCAGCGGCGGUAAUACGUAGGAUGAGAGGGUUUUCCGGAUGUAUGUGGGUUAAAGUGUGAGCAGGGGGAUUUUUAAGUCAGCGGGAAACUCGGGGGGCUAAAGCCCAUACAUCCGUUGAAACUGGGGAUCUAGAGUGUGCGAGAGGUAUGCGGAAUGCGUGGUGUAGCGGUGAAAUGCGUAGAUAUCACGAAGAACCCCGGUGGCGAAGGCAGCAUACUGGUGCACAACUGACGCUCAGGCACGAAAGCGUGGGUAUCGAACAGGAUUAGAUACCCCUGUAGUC
rnacentral:rRNA from 1 species